rnacentral:tRNA from 1 species
GCCUAGUUAGCUUGGUUGGUAGGUCGUCUGCCUUGUAAGCGCUAGGCCGCGGGUUCGAUUCCCGCCCGGGGCG